AGAAAUUUCUCUUCCCUGUUAAAAUGCAGAUUCUGAUUUUUGUGGGGUCUGAGACUCUGCAUUUCAAACAGGCUCCCGGGUGAUGCUGCU
rnacentral:miRNA from 1 species